rnacentral:rRNA from 1 species
UGACAGGUGGUGCAUGGUUGUCGUCAGCUCGUGUCGUGAGAUGUUGGGUUAAGUCCCGCAACCGAGCGCAACCCCUAUUGUUAGUUGCCAUCAUUCAGUUGGGCACUCUAGCGAGACUGCCGGUAAUAAACCGGAGGAAGGUGGGGAUGACGUCAAAUCAUCAUGCCCCUUAUGACCUGGGCUACACACGUGCUACAAUGGUUGGUACAACGAGUUGCGAGUCGGUGACGGCGAGCUAAAUCUCUUAAAGCCAAUCUCAGUUCGGAUUGUAGGCUGCAACUCGCCUACAUGAAGUCGGAAUCGCUAGUAAUCGCGGAUCAGCACGCCGCGGUGAAUACGUUCCCGGGCCUU